CCAUGACAAUGACUGAGAGAGACUAAAAAAAGGACGGAAAAGAGGCCAUCAAAUAAAGCCCACGCUGCUCAGUGCCCACUUAGUGUUUCCCGUAUUUGCUUUGUGACACCAAACAGGAAAGAGCUCACCUAUUCAGUGUCCCUGUUUCUACAUCUGUAAAAGAAAAAAUGUGGAAAACAUCUGUCAAGAAAGCUCCAGGAUCUGAAGUCUAAGGAAUCACUAAGAAAUGUACUGAUGAAAGAAAGGAAGUAAAUUAUUCUCUGAUUGUCACAACUGUUAGCAUUCCAAAUAUAUCAAAUAAUUUCUA
ensembl:lncRNA novel transcript